rnacentral:misc_RNA from 1 species
UCCGUAGGUGAACCUGCGGAAGGAUCAUUAACGAGUUAGGGUCUUCUCAGGCCCGACCUCCCAACCCUUUGUUUACUGAACCUCUGUUGCUUCGGCGGGCCCGUCUCACGACCGCCGGAGGACCGCCGACAGGUGUCCUCUGGCCCGUGUCCGCCGACAGCCAAGCUCUCAAACCUCUGUAUGAAUCGUGUCCUUUAUCUCUAAGUCUAUGAUUUAAACAAAUCAAAAAGCAAAACUUUCAACAACGGAUCUCUUGGUUCUGGCAUCGAUGAAGAACGCAGCGAAAUGCGAUAAGUAAUGCGAAUUGCAGAAUUCCAGUGAGUCAUCGAAUCUUUGAACGCACAUUGCGCCCUUUGGUAUUCCGAAGGGCAUGCCUGUUCGAGCGUCAUUAUCACCCCUCAAGCCCCCCGGCUUGGUGUUGGACGGCUUGGUUGACCGCAACGUCGACCCCUCCUAAAGACAGUGACGGCGCCCCGCGGCACCCCCGGUACACUGAGCUUUUCAUCGAGCACGUAUCGGACAAGGGUCCCCGGGACACGGUCUCUCUUUCCCACGCAUCGCGGGAAAUUUUUUCUGAAAGGUUGACCUCGGAUCAGGUAGGAAUACGCGCUGAACUUAAGCAUAUCAAUAAGCGCAGGAAAAGAAACCAACAGGGAUUGCCUCAGUAACGGCGAGUGAAGCGGCAACAGCUCAAAUUUAAAAUCUGGCCUCUUGGGGUCCGAGUUGUAAUUUGUAGAGGAUGUUUUGGGUACCGCCCCGGUUUAAAUUUCUUGGAACAGAAUGUCACAGAGGGUGAGAAUCCCGUCUUGGACCGGCGGUAGGGCCUGUGUAAAACUCCUUCGACGAGUCGAGUUGUUUGGGAAUGCAGCUCAAAAUGGGUGGUAAAUUUCAUCUAAAGCUAAAUAUUGGCCAGAGACCGAUAGCGCACAAGUAGAGUGAUCGAAAGAUGAAAAGCACUUUGAAAAGAGAGUUAAACAGUAUGUGAAAUUGUUGAAAGGGAAGCGCUUGCAACCAGACUUGAGCGCGGCGGUUCCCCCAGCCUUUUGGCUGGGUUACUCCGUCGCGUCCAGGCCAACAUCGGUUCUGGGGGUCGGUCAAAGGCCUUGGGAAUGUAUCUACUUACGGGUAGACUUAUAGACCAGGGUGUCAUGCGGCCUCCCGGGACCGAGGAACGCGCUUCGGCUCGGAUGUUGGCGUAAUGGUUGUCAGCGACCCGUCUUGAAACACGGACCAAGGAGUCUAACAUCUAUGCGAGUGUUUGGGUGUCAAA